rnacentral:lncRNA from 1 species
AUGGCCUUUACCCUCCAGGCACUGGCAGGGAAGCCAGGUGGAGUCAAUGAACAGUCAAGAACCAGUCUAGAUGACCCUACUGAACACCUGGAUGUGUGUGUUUCAAAGCAACCGCAGUGGUACAAGUGGUUUGUGGCCAAAGAAAGUGGAGACGUCUUGAUUAUGUGCCAUCACCCAAAUUCACCAGCACUCUGA